rnacentral:rRNA from 1 species
ACCUUUUAUGGGGGACAACAUCGUGAAAACGGUGCUAAUACCGCAUAUUUUGGAUGACAUUGGAAAAAUUCAGCAAAGGUGGCUUCGGCUAUCGCUAGAAGAAUGGCCUGCGUAGCAUUAGCUUGAUGGUGGGGUAAUGGCCUACCAUGGCUACGAUGUUUAACUGGUCUGAGAGGAUGAUCAGUCACACUGGAACUGAGACACGGUCCGG